UACGUAGGGUGCAAGCGUUAAUCGGAAUUACUGGGCGUAAAGUGUGCGCAGGCGGCUAUGCAAGACAGAUGUGAAAUCCCCGGGCUCAACCUGGGAACUGCAUUUGUGACUGCAUGGCUAGAGUACGGUAGAGGGGGAUGGAAUUCCGCGUGUAGCAGUGAAAUGCGUAGAUAUGCGGAGGAACACCGAUGGCGAAGGCAAUCCCCUGGACCUGUACUGACGCUCAUGCACGAAAGCGUGGGGAGCAAACAGG
rnacentral:rRNA from 1 species